CCUACGGGAGGCAGCAGUGAGGAAUAUUGGGCAAUGGGCGGAAGCCUGAACCAGCCAAGUCGCGUGAGGGAAUAAGGCCCUACGGGUCGUAAACCUCUUUUGCCGGGGAGCAAGUGCGGGGAUGUGUCCCCGCCCGGAGAGUACCCGGAGAAAAAGCAUCGGCUAACUCCGUGCCAGCAGCGGCGGUUAUCCGGAGGAAGCGAGCGUUAUCCGGAUUGAUUGGGUUUAAAGGGUGCGUAGUGGGGCUUUAUAGUCAGCGGUAAAACUUCGGGGCGAAACCACGUCCGGCCGUGGAAACAGGUGGCCGUGAGUGGGCGAGAAGAAGGCGGAAUGCGUGGUGUAGCGGGGAAAUGCAUAGAUAUCACGCAGAACCCCGAUUGCGAAGGCAGCCUUCCGGCGCCCUACUGACGCUGAGGCACGAAAGUGCGGGGAUCGAACAGGAUUAGAUACCCGGGUAGUC
rnacentral:rRNA from 1 species